UGGGGGAUAUUGCACAAUGGGGGAAACCCUGAUGCAGCGACGCCUCGUGAGGGAAGACGGUUUUCGGAUUGUAAACCUCUGUCUUUGGGGAAGAAUAAAUGACGGUACCCAAAGAGGAAGCGACGGCUAACUACGUGCCAGCAGCCGCGGUAAUACGUAGGUCGCAAGCGUUGUCCGGAAUUACUGGGUGUAAAGGGAGCGUAGGCGGGAAUGUAAGUUGAAUGUUUAAACUACAGGCUUAACCUGUAAUCGCGUUCAAAACUACAUUUCUUGAGUGGAGUAGAGGCAGGCGGAAUUCCUAGUGUAGCGGUGAAAUGCGUAGAUAUUAGGAGGAACACCAGUGGCGAAGGCGGCCUGCUGGGCUCUAACUGACGCUGAGGCUCGAAAGCGUGGGUAGCAAACA
rnacentral:rRNA from 1 species